UACGUAGGGGGCUAGCGUUGUCCGGAAUCAUUGGGCGUAAAGAGCUCGUAGGUGGCUCGGUAAGUCGGGUGUGAAAUUUCGAGGCUCAACCUCGAAACGCCACCUGAUACUGCUGUGGCUAGAGUCCGGUAGGGGAGCGUGGAAUUCCGGGUGUAGCGGUGAAAUGCGUAGAUAUCCGGAGGAACACCGGUGGCGAAGGCGGCUUCCUGGACCGAUUCUGAGCUGAGGCGCGAAAGCUAGGGGAGCAAACAGG
rnacentral:rRNA from 1 species